rnacentral:rRNA from 1 species
GACGAACGCUGGCGGGGUGCGUAAUACAUGCAAGUCGAGCGGACCUUCGGGUCAGCGGCGGACGGGUGAGGAACACGUGAGUGAUCGGGCUGUGAGUGGGGGAUAUCGGGCCGAAAGGCGCGGCAAUCCCGCAUACGUUCCGGGAACCGGAAGAAAGCUUGGCAACAGGCGCUCACAGGGGAGCUCGCGGCCCAUUAGCUAGUUGGGGGGGUAACGGCCUCCCAAGGCGACGAUGGGUAGCCGGCCUGAGAGGGUGAACGGCCACACUGGGACUGAGACACGGCCCAGACUCCUACGGGAGGCAGCAGUAGGGAAUCUUCCACAAUGGGCGCAAGCCUGAUGGAGCAACGCCGCGUGAGUGAAGACGGCCUUCGGGUUGUAAAGCUCUGUCUGUCGGGACGAAACCGGCCCGGAAGGGCCGGGGAGCCGGUACCGACGGAGGAAGCCCCUGCAAACUACGUGCCAGCAGCCGCGGUAAGACGUAGGGGGCAAGCGUUGUCCGGAAUUACUGGGCGUAAAGGGCGUGUAGGCGGUGCGAUACGUAGCGGUUUUAAGCCUCCGGCUCACCCGGAGGAGGGCGGCUAAACGGUCGCGCUAGAGGGCAGAGAGGUGCGUGGAAUUCCUGGUGGAGCGGUGAAAUGCGUAAGAUCAGGAAGACACCCGUGGCGAAAGCGGCGCACUGGCCUGGCCCUGACGCUGAGCGCGACAGCGUGGGGAGCGAACGGGAUUAAAUACCCCGGUAGUCCACCCGUAACAUGGUACUAGGUGUCGCCCGGUCCACCGGCNGUGCCGACUACCAUAAUACCCCCUGGGAUCCGCCAAGUAACAAAAUACGGGCCCCACAACAUGAACUUUUAUUCACCACCCAACUACAGAUGAC